rnacentral:rRNA from 1 species
GGUUAAGCUACAAAGAGCACACGGAGGAUGCCUAGGCGCCAGGAGCCGACGAAGGACGUGGCGAACAACGAUAAGGCCUCGGGGAGCUGUAAGCAAGCUUUGAUCCGGGGAUGUCCGAAUGGGGAAACCCGGCUGUCUUCAUCGACAGUCACUUUCUGCUGAAUACAUAGGCAGAAUAGAGGCAGACCAGGGGAACUGAAACAUCUAAGUACCCUGAGGAAGAGAAAACAAUAGUGAUUCCGUCAGUAGCGGCGAGCGAACGCGGAUUAGCCCAAACCAAGGAGCUUGCUCCUUGGGGUUGUGGGACGUCUCACAUGGAGUUACAAAGGAACCGGUUAGAUGAAGAGGUCUGGAAAGGCCCGCCAGAGAAGGUAAAAGCCCUGUAGUUCAAAACUUGUUCUCUCCGAGACGGAUCCCGAGUAGUGCGGGGCACGUGAAACCCCGUAUGAAUCCGGCAGGACCAUCUGCCAAGGCUAAAUACUCCCUGGCGACCGAUAGUGAAGCAGUACCGUGAGGGAAAGGUGAAAAGCACCCCGGAAGGGGAGUGAAAUAGAUCCUGAAACCGUGUGCUUACAAGAAGUCAGAGCCC